UCCCGGCUAGCUCAGUCGGUAGAGCGUCAGACUCUUAGCCAAGAGCCUCUGCGAUCGAUCGCAGUAACAAAUCUGAAUGUCGUGGGUUCGAGCCCCACGUUGGGAG
rnacentral:tRNA from 2 species